AUUGAACGCUGGCGGCAGGCCUAACACAUGCAAGUCGAGCGGAUGAAGGGAGCUUGCUCCUGGAUUCAGCGGCGGACGGGUGAGUAAUGCCUAGGAAUCUGCCUGGUAGUGGGGGAUAACGUCCGGAAACGGGCGCUAAUACCGCAUACGUCCUGAGGGAGAAAGUGGGGGAUCUUCGGACCUCACGCUAUCAGAUGAGCCUAGGUCGGAUUAGCUAGUUGGUGGGGUAAAGGCCUACCAAGGCGACGAUCCGUAACUGGUCUGAGAGGAUGAUCAGUCACACUGGAACUGAGACACGGUCCAGACUCCUACGGGACGCAGCAGUGGGGAAGAUUGGACAAUGGGCGAAAGCCUGAUCCAGCCAUGCGGCUUGUGUGAAGAAGCUCUUCGUGUUGAAAAGCUCGUUAAGUUGGGAGGAAGGGCAGUAAGUUAAUACCUUGCUGUUUUGACGUUACCAACAGAAGAAGCCCCGGCUAACUUCGUG
rnacentral:rRNA from 1 species